UGAGUAAUGCCUAGGAAUCUGCCUGGUAGUGGGGGACAACGUCUCGAAAGGGACGCUAAUACCGCAUACGUCCUACGGGAGAAAGUGGGGGAUCUUCGGACCUCACGCUAUCAGAUGAGCCUAGGUCGGAUUAGCUAGUUGGUGAGGUAAUGGCUCACCAAGGCGACGAUCCGUAACUGGUCUGAGAGGAUGAUCAGUCACACUGGAACUGAGACACGGUCCAGACUCCUACGGGAGGCAGCAGUGGGGAAUAUUGGACAAUGGGCGAAAGCCUGAUCCAGCCAUGCCGCGUGUGUGAAGAAGGUCUUCGGAUUGUAAAGCACUUUAAGUUGGGAGGAAGGGCAUUAACCUAAUACGUUGAUGUUUUGACGUUACCGACAGAAUAAGCACCGGCUAACUCUGUGCCAGCAGCCGCGGUAAUACAGAGGGUGCAAGCGUUAAUCGGAAUUACUGGGCGUAAAGCGCGCGUAGGUGGUUUGUUAAGUUGGAUGUGAAAGCCCCGGG
rnacentral:rRNA from 1 species